rnacentral:lncRNA from 1 species
AUGACAGAGCUCUCUGGGACGUGGCUGCCACCGUCUUCCCCAGAGACCCCAAAGCGUGGCUUUCCUUUCUCUGGCAGGGCUCCGUGGCUCCACAUUCCUCUGACUGCUGAGGGUCCUGGGUCUUUGGGCGGUGUGUCAGUUUCUGGCUACCAUCUUUGUCCGCUUCCGGAGGAACGGGACCACAGCUGCAGUUGCCUUGGUACAACCAAUGGGGGACAGUGUCCUGCAGUGGUUAAAGGCGUGGGCUCUGAAACAAGACUGAAUCCUGGCUCGCUCCUGUGUAACCUCAGGCAAGCUACUUGGCCUCACCAUGCCUCAGUUUCUCCAUCUGCAAAAUGGGAGCAGGGAUGGUAGUAUCCAUCUCAGGAGAUUAUAAGGACCUAAAUGACGCCAUGUACAGAGAUGCCUGGGUGGCUCCGUCGGUUAACCAUCUGACUCUUGAUUUUGGCUCAGGUCAUGAUCUCAGAGUCAUGGGAUCGAGCCCUGCGUUGGCUCCGCACUCAGUGGAGAGUCUGCUUGUCCCUCUCCCUCUGCUCCCCCCCCCCCGCCCGUGUUCUUUCUUUCUCUCUCAAAUAAAUAAAUAAAAUCCUUUUAAAAAAUAAGUGAUACCAUAUACAGAAAAUC